UUCCUGUCUCCCAGCUCUCACCCGCGUGGAUUUGAGGUCCAAGCCGGCAAUUUCCACGUCCGGAGGUGCCAGGAGGCUUCGCGGUCUAAGCUCGCUGCCUCCCACGGCAGCGGACAGGACUGACCCGAGGAGAGUUUGGCUUGGCAGAAGGCAAUGACCAGGGUUCAUGCUCCAGAUACAGGCCUGGAGGCACCAGAGUGAUGUCUAAAAAAGAAGUGGAUUUGGAGCCAGACAUCACCAGGGUUCCAGCCACGACUUAGCCCCAGGCUACGGGAUAGGAAGGGCCCACUGUACCCGGGGCACAAAAGGCGCAGAGCUGACACCGAGCCCCGCCCUAGACCAGCUUUCCAUACUGCGCAAACGCGAAGAUCCGCGAGCUGCUCCGGCGCCCCAGGGGCGGGGCUGACCUUCCCUCUUGCGCGCCCAAUCACUAGUAACGUUCCGCCAGUUCCCGUCAGCAGCAGGACCCAAUCAACGCCUAGAGCGGAGGUGUCCCACCUAUCCCGAGUCCCUGCUGCUAGCCUAGAGCGUGUGGAGCUGCUGCUUGGCUCUCGGUACGCUGGGGCCCGCCGGUCCUGCGGCGAUCUUCCAGCCUGCUUUCCCGGGAUGUCGGUGGCCUUUGUACCGGACUGGCUGAGAGGCAAGGCGGAAGUCAAUCAGGAGACGAUCCAGCGGCUCCUGGAGGAGAAUGACCAGCUGAUCCGCUGUAUCCUGGAGCACCAGAACAAAGGCCGGGCGAAUGAGUGCGUCCAGUACCAGCAUGUGUUACAUAGAAAUCUCAUUUAUUUGGCUACCAUCGCAGAUGCCAACCCAACCAGUGCUUCAAAGGCAAUGGAAUAAUCUUCCAGUUGGCUGUUGGGAGGAGUACUUGAAUGUGAUCCAUUUCCUACGAAAUGAAGACAGGAUCUUUACCAACUCAGUGUCUUAAAACAUGAAUGAAAACCCCUGUGGCUCUUUUAAGAAUGAAAAUUUUCAACCUGAAGAGGAAAUCGAGCAAGUCUUGGCAACAACAGGAAUUGGUGAGACUGCCGACCAGACCCUGCCAAUGGACAUGCAGCUCUGUGUACCCUCCUGCCAGGUGGUACUUCCAGGCCUCCUGCCUGCUCUUUUCAGGUUACUUUGAAAUAAAGCUUGCCUCUCCAUGAAAGGCUGAUAUUGAGGUAUAGACAUUUUCAUGUAAUAAGUGUUCCACUUGAUUUUCCAGAAAAAACGCUUAAGGACUUAAAAAUAUUUAUCACAACACCAUUAUCUUUGCUAACAAAAUUAAUAGUAAUUCUUACUAACAGAUGAUGUUUUAGGAGAGAAAAAAUCUUUUUCCUUCUCUCUUUUUAAGGUUUUCAGCUGGGGCUUUAUACCAAGAGGUAGACUAACAAAAGGAAAUAAUACAGAUUUAUUUAAUACAUGUUUUGAUAGGAUAUGGGGGCCUUCAGAAGGACCCAAAGAAACAGUUAAACCUUAGUGUUUUUAUACUAAGUGUGACGAACAGUGAAAAGUCAUGGGAAAAUGUGACAGGACAGAAUGGUAUGAGCUAACUGUAGUAAACUGGGAGAAACUUAGCCAGGCCUUUGUUCAAAUUCUCAGUGUCCCUCCAUCUUUAGAGAUAAGGAUUCUCCUUUCUUCUGGAGGGUAGGAAGAACACCUCUCAUAUGAGGGUCUUAUGACCUGCUUCCUGGGAGAAGGUCAGGAGUCCUUCCAGCUCCUGCCAUUUUUCCAGUUCCCUCAGCUUAAAGUAUUUAAUAUGCCAAGGCCUCAUAUUUUGAAGUAGCAUGUCCUGAACACCAUCAAUGUUCAAUUUUCUUAAAUCAUCACAAAAUCUUUCUUUGUUGAUUUGUCUGAAUCGAUUCAAACAAUCACACACUGCAUUUUGCUGAUGUCCCUUAAGUCUCUUUAAAAAUAAAAAUACUUAACAAUUCCCCUUCAUUUACCCUAAAAUUUCUCACAUUCUAGACUCACCUAAUUGUAUUCCUGUGGUGUCAUUAAAUAUGACCCACUAUCACCAAUUUUCCUGUAAACCGGUAGAUCUCAAGGCUCAUUCAGACUCAGGUUCUAAUAUUUUUGGUAAAAACACAUAGUUGGAGGUGAUAGGUACCUGCUUUUGCAUCACAUCAGGAAGUGACCUGAUUUAUUUAUCAGGUUUCCAAUAGCCUUUCACUUAAAUUAUGAUCUAACCAGCUUUGAUCUAUUAUUUCAUUAGGGUUUGCACACUGGUGGCUUUCUAUUUUAUCACUCCUGUCUUUAUUAGAUUUGUUUUAUAAAGAAUUUUUUAUCUUUUGAGACUUAUUUGUAAAGUGAGGCAAAGAGAUUCUUGUAAGGGAACCAAAAAGUAGAACUUCACACUCCUGGCUCUUUUUGUUAGAGUCAAGGAUUGCAGUCCAGGGAGACUAUAAUGUGUAAAUAGUGAGGAGAGACCUUGAUUUGAAUUUCAUCUAUCACAGCCUCUGAAAACUCAUUUCCUCAUGUCUAAAAGGGGGAUGAACACAGUAUCUGUUUGUGGAGAUGGUGAGACUGAAAUAAUGCAGUUGAGAGCAGAGUACGUGGUAAACACUUGUGUUCACUGUGGUGUGUUAUCAAGGCCUUCCCAAGUCUGGGAGGUGAACUUUUCUAUGCUCCCUGACCCAUUCUGCCAUCCUUACGUUUCUAGCCUGUUAAUGGUCUCCUCCCACUGUUCAUGGGGUUGGUGCAUAUACUCUGCUGAAUGGGCUGCUCAUACACCUAAUCUGGUCAGCAGAUAUGGUGAGUGCUGUGCAGUGUUUUUAGUUUUGAAUUAGUUGCUGACAUAUAAAGAUGGGAGAAUUUCCCGUUAAAGCCUGGAUUUCUAGCAGUGCUGAGCUUACAGAUCCACAGGUCAAACAUGAGCUGGAGUGGGAUGGUAGCUGCGCUCCUUUCCAGGGCAACUUGGCUUGUUUACAUAGGGUCUAGCUUUGGAAUGUGAGCGCCUGCUCAUGUUUCAGUUUGGCCUGCCCCUAUGCACAACCUGACACAAGGCUUUGGGCACAGGUAGUUAUUUGGGAGAUGAUCUCAGGAAGCAGGAGUAAGGCAGUGGGCAGUGUGAAACAGAGGAGGAAAAGCCACCUAAAGGGUGUGUUACCAAGGCUACUGCUAUAGAACUAGGGUCUCAAUUCUGGGGGGAGCCACUGAGAAGCAUGUGGAAUGUCCCAGAAGUGUCCACCGGAGAGAUACUAGUUGGGGUGGCCUGCAGGGGAAUUAGCGCUCCUACACUAACAAGAAGCCUUUGUGGCCAAGUGGGCCCCAGAUGUCAGAGGAGUCAGAAGAAAGUAGAAAGCUCAGGGAAGCUCCUGAGGUGGGCUUCUGCCAGCAGGUGAACCGUCCACUGCUGGUGAGGCAGGUGAGGGGUUGUGAUGGCAUCAGAGCCUCCCGUGGGGGUGGAGGGUAGGGUCUCUGAGCAAGUCAGUGUGACCUUCAACACUUAAGUGUAGCUUCUUGGGUAGCAGUGGGAAUAGCCUUGAAAACAAAGCCCAGCUUCUCCCUCUGAGAGAAGGAGCUUGUGACCUGUAGUGUUAUUCUUCCUUUGCCUCUUGGGCAGAUAUGUGAGUCCACAUGCCGAGGACUGAAUCUGGGCCGACCAGGAGCCUCUGAGAACAGCCCCUUAGGCUACUUUAGCCACAGUUUACCCUACAUUCCAGUGGGCCCCUUUCUGGAGAGACACUCUGGAGAAGCAGAUGCUAGCCUACUAGCUAUCAUUUAAUGUGCCCCAGUCCAAAUCUACCUAUUUGCCUCAGUGACAGCCUGAAGAUCCUGCCAUCCCUCUUUAAAGACCCAGAACUCAGUAUAAUGAAAGAGGAAUUUAAAAAGGCAAAGAACUAGACCAGACUCUCUAAACCAUUCUUCCCUCAGAGAACCUCCUGCUUCAAGAGUUAAACCUCCACUCAGCCUGUCAGCCCUUUUUCAACUCUCAGGGUCAAGCUGAUGCCCCAAUAGCCUAUACAAGGUCUGAAUCUGUUCAUUUGAGUUUCUGAGCCUGCUUCCCAGGAUUUGCAACUGUGGCAACCUCUCUAAGUAUCACAUUCUCCUGGGAUGAGAAUAUGGUGCUAAAACAAAGACAGCAAAUAAUUUGAGGUCAGGUUUAUUCCACAAAAUUUAAGCUAUUUUCUACUUCUUCAUGAGGCUUCUGGACAUCCCAGUCUGACCUUCUGACCUUGGGCGACUCCAAGUAAUGAUAUGGCUAGGAAGGGAAUGAUCACUGCUAUCUCAUGUGGCCCUGAACCUUUGCAAUAAACCUUCAUUACUGAA